rnacentral:rRNA from 1 species
AAACUUUCAACAAUGGAUCUCUUGGUUCCGGCAUCGAUGAAGAACGCAGCGAAAUGCGAUAACUAGUGUGAAUUGCAGAAUUCCGUGAAUCAUCGAGUCUUUGAACGCACAUUGCGCCCCCUGAUAUUCCGGGGGCAUGCCUGUCCGAGCGUCAUUG